AGGACGAACGCUGGCGGCGUGCUUAACACAUGCAAGUCGAGGGAGAACCAGAGAAGGGGUAACCCUUCUCUGGGGAGACCGGCGAACGGGUGAGUAACACGUGGGCAACCUACCCCAGGCUCUGGGAUAACCUCGGGAAACCGGGGCUAAUACCGGAUACUCUCGGGACCUCGCAUGGGGACCCGAGGAAAGCUCCGACGGCCUGGGAUGGGCCCGCGGCCUAUCAGCUUGUUGGUGGGUAAUGGCCCACCAAGGCGACGACGGGUAGCUGGCGUGAGAGCGUGACCAGCCACACUGGGACUGAGACACGGCCCAGACUCCUACGGGAGCAGCAGUGGGGAAUCUUGCGCAAUGGGCGAAAGCCUGACGCAGCGACGCCGCGUGGGGAUGAAGGCUUCGGUUGUAAACCCUUCGGCAGGGACGAAGCGAAGUGACGUACCUGCAGAAGAGCCCGGCUAACUACGUGCCAGCAGCCGC
rnacentral:rRNA from 1 species